rnacentral:rRNA from 1 species
AUUGAACGCUGGCGGCAGGCCUAACACAUGCAAGUCGAGCGGAGCGGCGGACGGGUGAGUAAUGCCUAGGAAUCUGCCUGGUAGUGGGGGAUAACGUCCGGAAACGGGCGCUAAUACCGCAUACUAUCAGAUGAGCCUAGGUCGGAUUAGCUAGUUGGUGGGGUAAAGGCCUACCAAGGCGACGAUCCGUAACUGGUCUGAGAGGAUGAUCAGUCACCAUGGAACGGAGAAUGUGUGCAUACUACGACGGGAGGCAGCAGUGGGGAAUUUUGGACAAUGGGCGAAGGCAUGAUCCAGCCAUGCAGUGUGUGUGAAGAAGGUAUUGGGAGUGUAAUGCACUUUAAGUUGGAAGACGUUACCAACAGAAUAAGCACCGGCUAAAUUCGUGCCAGCAGCCGCGGUACUUC